AGUGAACGCUGGCGGUAGGCCUAACACAUGCAAGUCGAACGGCAGCACAGGAGAGCUUGCUCUCUGGGUGGCGAGUGGCGGACGGGUGAGGAAUACAUCGGAAUCUACCUUGUCGUGGGGGAUAACGUAGGGAAACUUACGCUAAUACCGCAUACGACCUUCGGGUGAAAGUGGGGGACCGCAAGGCCUCACGCGAUUAGAUGAGCCGAUGUCGGAUUAGCUAGCUGGCGGGGUAAAAGCCCACCAAGGCGACGAUCCGUAGCUGGUCUGAGAGGAUGAUCAGCCACACUGGAACUGAGACACGGUCCAGACUCCUACGGGAGGCAGCAGUGGGGAAUAUUGGACAAUGGGCGCAAGCCUGAUCCAGCCAUACCGCGUGGGUGAAGAAGGCCUUCGGGUUGUAAAGCCCUUUUGUUGGGAAAGAAAUCUUGCCGGUUAAUACCUGGCGAGGAUGACGGUACCCAAAGAAUAAGCACCGGCUAACUUCGUGCCAGCCGCCGCCGUAAGAC
rnacentral:rRNA from 1 species